GACGAACGCUGGCGGCGUGCUUAACACAUGCAAGUCGAGCGGUAAGGCCCCUUUGGGGGUACACGAGCGGCGAACGGGUGAGUAACACGUGGGUGACCUGCCCUCAGCUCUGGGAUAAGCCUGGGAAACUGGGUCUAAUACCGGAUAUGACUCCAUGACGCAUGUUGUGGGGUGGAAAGCCUUGUGCGGCUGGGGAUGGGCCCGCGGCCUAUCAGCUUGUUGGUGGGGUGAUGGCCUACCAAGGCGACGACGGGUAGCCGGCCUGAGAGGGCGACCGGCCACACUGGGACUGAGACACGGCCCAGACUCCUACGGGAGGCAGCAGUGGGGAAUCUUGCGCAAUGGGCGAAAGCCUGACGCAGCGACGCCGCGUGAGGGAUGACGGCCU
rnacentral:rRNA from 1 species